GAGGUUAAGCGACUAAGCGUACACGGUGGAUGCCCUGGCAGUCAGAGGCGAUGAAGGGCGUGCUAAUCUGCGAUAAGCGCCGGUAAGGUGAUAUGAACCGUUAUAACCGGCGAUACCCGAAUGGGGAAACCCAGUGUGACUCGUCACACUAUCAUUAACUGAAUCCAUAGGUUAAUGAGGCGAACCGGGGGAACUGAAACAUCUAAGUACCCCGAGGAAAAGAAAUCAACCGAGAUUCCCCCAGUAGCGGCGAGCGAACGGGGAGGAGCCCAGAGCCUGAAUCAGCAUGUGUGUUAGUGGAAGCGUCUGGAAAGGCGCGCGAUACAGGGUGACAGCCCCGUACACAAAAGCGCAUGUGCUGUGAGCUCGAUGAGUAGGGCGGGACACGUGGUAUCCUGUCUGAAUAUGGGGGGACCAUCCUCCAAGGCUAAAUACUCCUGACUGACCGAUAGUGAACCAGUACCGUGAGGGAAAGGCGAAAAGAACCCCGGCGAGGGGAGUGAAAAAGAACCUGAAACCGUGUACGUACAAGCAGUGGGAGCCCCACCACCAAAGCAUUUGCUGUACCGCGUUGACGGAGCGAAGCGACGUCAAACCGAUAAAACAGCAGUGUAAAGUGAGCCGCAGGGCGCUUUGCGCGACAGCGCAAAGGCAGGCGGUUUCGCGUAGCGAAAGCGAAUGCUUUGGGGUGGGGUGACUGCGUACCUUUUGUAUAAUGGGUCAGCGACUUAUAUUCUGUAGCAAGGUUAACCGAAUAGGGGAGCCGGAGGGAAACCGAGUCUUAAUUGGGCGUUAAGUUGCAGGGUAUAGACCCGAAACCCGGUGAUCUAGCCAUGGGCAGGUUGAAGGUUGGGUAACACUAACUGGAGGACCGAACCGACUAAUGUUGAAAAAUUAGCGGAUGACCUGUGGCUGGGGGUGAAAGGCCAAUCAAACCGGGAGAUAGCUGGUUCUCCCCGAAAGCUAUUUAGGUAGCGCCUCGUGAAUUCAUCUCCGGGGGUAGAGCACUGUUUCGGCUAGGGGGCCAUCCCGGCUUACCAACCCGAUGCAAACUGCGAAUACCGGAGAAUGUUAUCACGGGAGACACACGGCGGGUGCUAACGUCCGUCGUGAAGAGGGAAACAACCCAGACCGCCAGCUAAGGUCCCAAAGUCAUGGUUAAGUGGGAAACGAUGUGGGAAGGCCCAGACAGCCAGGAUGUUGGCUUAGAAGCAGCCAUCAUUUAAAGAAAGCGUAAUAGCUCACUGGUCGAGUCGGCCUGCGCGGAAGAUGUAACGGGGCUAAACCAUGCACCGAAGCUGCGGCAGCGACACUGUGUGUUGUUGGGUAGGGGAGCGUUCUGUAAGCCUGUGAAGGUGUGUCGUGAGGCAUGCUGGAGGUAUCAGAAGUGCGAAUGCUGACAUAAGUAACGAUAAAGCGGGUGAAAAGCCCGCUCGCCGGAAGACCAAGGGUUCCUGUCCAACGUUAAUCGGGGCAGGGUGAGUCGACCCCUAAGGCGAGGCCGAAAGGCGUAGUCGAUGGGAAACGGGUUAAUAUUCCCGUACUUGGUGUUACUGCGAAGGGGGGACGGAGAAGGCUAUGUUGGCCGGG
rnacentral:rRNA from 1 species